rnacentral:other from 15 species
UACAAGCUGCGUUGUACGUAAUAUUAAUAAAGUUUUAACCUUUAAACUGUUAUAGGGAGUUUAACAUUAUUGCGGGAAUGCCGAGCCUUUUGCCGUUUGGCAGGGAGGAUGGCAGGAACGCUUUUGCGGACACCCACUUUGAGGAGUGUGGUUCUAAAACUUUCUUAGUUUGAUUACGGCAACUGCGGCACAUAC